rnacentral:rRNA from 1 species
AACGGCGAGUGAAGCGGCAAAAGCUCAAAUUUGAAAUCUGGUACNUUCGGUGCCCGAGUUGUAAUUUGGAGAGGGCAACUUUGGGGCCGUUCCUYGUCUAUGUUCCUUGGAACAGGACGUCAUAGAGGGUGAGAAUCCCGUGUGGCGAGGAGUGCGGUUCUUUGUAAAGUGCCUUCGAAGAGUCGAGUUGUUUGGGAAUGCAGCUCUAAGUGGGUGGUAAAUUCCAUCUAAAGCUAAAUAUUGGCGAGAGACCGAUAGCGAACAAGUACAGUGAUGGAAAGAUGAAAAGAACUUUGAAAAGAGAGUGAAAAAGUACGUGAAAUUGUUGAAAGGGAAGGGCAUUUGAUCAGACAUGGUGUUUUGUGCCCUCUGCUCCUUGUGGGUAGGGGAAUCUCGCAUUUCACUGGGCCAGCAUCAGUUUUGGUGGCAGGAUAAAUCCAUAGGAAUGUAGCUUGCCUCGGUAAGUAUUAUAGCCUGUGGGAAUACUGCCAGCUGGGACUGAGGACUGCGACGUAAGUCAAGGAUGC